CUUUGCUCCUUCCAUAUUUAGUGAGUUGGACUAUGGAUCAGGUACUGUGCUCAGCAUCAGAAAAUGGGAUGACAAUGAACAGAGUAACACGACUAUAUUUCUGAAAAAGGAUGAACUUACUGGAAACAGGAUUGCGUGCCUGAAAUAGACCCAAAUGGAUAUAAAUGUCAACUCAGUUCUGGGCUGGAGAUAUAGAUUUGGAAUGCACCAACAAUGCAGAUGGUAAUCCUGGCAUGCGAGUAGGUGAGAUCAUCCGGGGAGAUGGCCUAUAAUGAGAGCCUAUAACAUGUCAGGGCUCAAGCACCUCUUACUGCCUCCUCACUCUGGAACCAAAUGCCUUACUGUAAGUGGCAUCUAGAUCUUGCCAGUGACUUUCCUGUACAGGGCCUACAGGAAAUGGUUUUCUCAGCAUUUAAGGUUCCUAGGAGAAUGUUAACAGUCCAGACCUUUUUCACUACAUCAACCAUGGAUGACUGGCAUAUAAAAUCCUACUUAACCUUUACAUAACUGCAAUACCAGGAAACAAAUAUGUCAAUAAAAG
rnacentral:lncRNA from 1 species